GAGGAAUUGCGUUCGCCCAUGCGCACUAAGAACCGCAGCACGGCGGAGGAGACCCUUUCGGAAACAGGCUUGUAGCCUGAGCUGUAGACAAGAUCAGAUGGUACAGGAGGGCGGAGCUUGGCCGCCAUGCUUGAAGUGGGGACCUGCAGCAGUGAUUUUGAUGCCGGGGUUCUUGUUCAUGAAGCCGAAGAAUGAGCUUCACAAACACUCAAGAUUUAGAAGGUGCAGUUCCUAGACUGUUGGAACAUCUACAGGAGGAAGGAUGGGCUGUAAACAGCACCAAGGUUCAGGUACCUGGUUUGUCUAUGAAGUUCUUGGGGGUUGUCUGUUCAGGUAAAACUAAAGUUAUCCCAGAAGCAGUCAUAGACAAGGUCCAGGCUUUCCCUACCCCUACCACUGUGGCAGUAUUACAAGAGUUUUUGGGUCUUUUGGGCUACUGGAGAGUGUUUAUCCCACACUUGGCACAAAUUCUGGAGCCCUUACACUGGUUGGUAUGAAAGGGCAUCAGGUGGGAUGAACAUGUGCAGCUGCUUUUACUGCUGCUAAGCGAGCACUCAGGACCACACAGGCCUUGAGUAUAAUGCACUCACAAAGGCCCUGUGAGCUAGAUGUUCAUGUACCCACAGAUGGUUAUGGAUGGGGUCUUUGGCAGUGGCUUGAAUGGACACACCAACCUAUUGGAUUCUGUUCACAACUAUGGAAAGGAACAGAGGUCUGCUACACCUUGAUAAAGAAGCAACUGGCUGCUGUGUACCACACCUUGCUGGCUUUGGAGCCCAUCACUGGAUCAGCUCCAGCCAAGGUAAUAAUCACCUAUUCCAUCACAGGGUGGGUGCAAGACUGGACCCAAAGGCCACAGAGUGGUGUGGCUCAAAUACCUACCUGGCUAAAUGGGGUGCAUGCUUACAGCAGUGUAAAGCCCUUUCUACUAGCCCUUAAGUGGAGAACUUGAACUCUUACUGGGGCCAGUGACAUAUAUCAGUGGAAAGCAGGAAGAACUUGCUUUUGAGCCAUUGGUAGCUGAGACUCCUUAUCAGGAGGGAAAAUCUCCUGUACCUGAAGAAGCUUGGUAUACAGAAAACUCCAGUAAUGGGCAGCCCCUGAAGUGGAGGUCUGUGGCUUUCCAUUCUAAGACUGAGACAAUAUGGAUGGACGAUGGAGAGGGGAAAAGUAGUCAGUGGGCUGAGUUGCAGGCAGUAUGGUUCAUGAUCACCCAAGAGCCUUUCCCUAUAGUUGUCUGCACUGACAGCUGGACUGUCUAUUGCAGUUUGACCCUGUGGCUACCGACAUGGUACCAUGCCAACUGGAUGGUGGGUCACCACCCCCUUUGGGGGCAAGAGUUGUUGCAAGACCUAUGGGCCUCUGAUCAGACUAAAACUGUUACUGUAUAUUAUAUGACUGGCCGCUUGCCUUUGGCAUUCCCAAGACAUGAUGAAGCAGACACAUUGGCCUAGGUGCGUUGGCUAGAAGGAAAGCUUGCCACUGAUGUGGUCCAAUGUUUACAUCAGCAUUUAUUGUACAUGGGGCAAAAGGCAAUGUGGGCUAUAGACCAUCAGUGGGGUUGCCAUUGACCUUUGAAGAAGUUGGCAGAGCCCCGAAAGAGUGCCUUGUGUGCUCUAAGAGAGACUUACACCGAGUUCUGCAGCAAUGUGGGACAGUAGUAAAGGGGCCAAUACCCUUU